AUUGAACGCUGGCGGCAGGCUUAACACAUGCAAGUCGAGCGGGGUGAUGGUGCUUGCACUAUCACUUAGCGGCGGACGGGUGAGUAAUGCUUAGGAAUCUGCCUAUUAGUGGGGGACAACAUCUCGAAAGGGAUGCUAAUACCGCAUACGUCCUACGGGAGAAAGCAGGGGAUCACUUGUGACCUUGCGCUAAUAGAUGAGCCUAAGUCGGAUUAGCUAGUUGGUGGGGUAAAGGCCUACCAAGGCGACGAUCUGUAGCGGGUCUGAGAGGAUGAACGGCCACACUGGGAGUGGGACACGGCCCAGACUCCUACGGGAGGCAGCAGUGGGGAAUAUUGGACAAUGGGGGGAACCCUGAUCCAGCCAUGCCGCGUGUGUGAAGAAGGCCUUAUGGUUGUAAAGCACUUUAAGCGAGGAGGAGGCUCUUUUGGUUAAUACCCAAGAUGAGUGGACGUUACUCGCAGAAUAAGCACCGGCUAACUCUGUGCCAGCCGCCGCCGUAA
rnacentral:rRNA from 1 species